rnacentral:rRNA from 1 species
UACGAAGGGGGCUAGCGUUGCUCGGAAUCACUGGGCGUAAAGCGCACGUAGGCGGCUUUUUAAGUCAGGGGUGAAAUCCUGGAGCUCAACUCCAGAACUGCCUUUGAUACUGAGGAUCUUGAGUACGGGAGAGGUGAGUGGAACUGCGAGUGUAGAGGUGAAAUUCGUAGAUAUUCGCAAGAACACCAGUGGCGAAGGCGGCUCACUGGCCCGUUACUGACGCUGAGGCACGAAAGCGUGGGGAGCAAACAGG